AGCGAAACAGCAUUUCCUGAAAACCUUGGUGGUGUGAAUUGUUGUUCUGUAUCAAACCUUCCGAGUUCUCCAAUUGGGUACUGACCAAAUCCUCCAAUGAAGUUAGUUUGCGCACCAAUGAAUGAAUAUCCAUCUCUACUCUGCCUUUCACUACCAAAUUUCAUCGAAAUCUGCUCAUUAUUAGUCUCACCAGGCUUAACAUCCAUGUUUAUGGAAGGAACGCUAUUUGGAGAUUGAAUCAGUUCAGUGCUUCUGUGUCUUUUUGGACUUGCC
rnacentral:lncRNA from 1 species